rnacentral:misc_RNA from 1 species
AAAAGUUCAAGCUAUUUUGAAGGGUAUAAAACAGAGCCCAAAGAAGGUGAACUUGGUUGCUGCAUUAGUUCGUGGUAUGCGUGUUGAAGAUGCAUUGUUACAGUUGCAAGUGACGGUAAAGCGAGCUGCCAAAACUGUCUAUCAGGUUAUACACUCUGCUCGGGCAAAUGCAGUGCAUAACUAUGGAUUUGAUCCGGAUCGCCUUCUUGUUGCUGAGGCAUUUCUUGGGAAGGGACUCUUUAAGAAAAGGUUGUCCUACCAUGCCAAAGGAAAGUGUGGAAUGAUGG